AUGAAAGAAACAAUCAUGAACCAGGAAAAACUCACCAAACUGCAGGCACAAGUGUGCAUUGGUGGGAAAGGAACUGCUCACAGAAAGAAGAAGGUGGUUCAUAGAACAGCCACAGCAGAUGAUUAAAAACUUCAGUUCUCCUUAAAGAAGUUAGGGGUAAACAAUAUCUCUGGUAUUGAAGAGGUGAAUAUGUUUACAAACCAAGGAACAGUGAUCCACUUUAACAACCCUAAAGUUCAGGCAUCUCUGGCAGCGAACACUUUCACCAUUACAGGCCAUGCUGAGACGAAGCAGCUGACAGAAAUGCUACCCAGCAUCUUAAACCAGCUUGGCGCAGAUAGUCUGACUAGUUUAAGGAGACUGGCCGAAGCUCUGCCCGAACAAUCUGUGGAUGGAAAAGCACCACUUGCUACUGGAGAGGAUGAUGAUGAUGAAGUUCCAGAUCUUGUGGAGAAUUUUGAUGAGGCUUCCAAGAAUGAGGCAAACUGAAUUGAGUCAACUUCUGAAGAUAAAACUUGAAGAAGUUACUGGGAGCUGCUAUUUUAUAUUAUGACUGCUUUUUAAGAAAUUUUUGUUUAUGGAUCUGAUAAAAUCUAGAUCUCUAA